rnacentral:lncRNA from 1 species
GAGAAAGAAGAGAAAAGAAUAAGCAUACCUUUCUCGGCCUUUUGGCUAAGAUCAAGUGUAGUAUCUGUUCUUAUCAGUUUAAUAUCUGAUACGUGGACCAAUGGUCCACACGAUAUUAAAUUAAUUUCUUUAGGGGGAGGGUCCAUUACAGUAGCUUGCUAUUGGGACUCUCGUGUGUCGCCCAAGCGUUGCACUAUUGCAUGGGCCUGGCGCACCCCACCAAAUCCAGUUCAAACUUAAAAUUGUCUUUAGCAAUUGCGAGGCCUGCCAUUGUGUAUUUUGUAACACUCGAGACACCCUAAGAAAUCAAGCUGUGUUUCUAUACACGCUGAAUUAAGAUGUGUAAAUUAAACUUAACCUCGCGAACUGAAAAAAAUCUUCUGACUUUGGAUUUACGGUGCGGUUGGAUGAGGAGGAAAUUCAAUGUCGUUCAUUAGUGACAAAAGACACUAUUGGGUCAGUGGGUUUGUUAGGAAUCUGGGGAGAGGACAGAUUUUGGAAGCUGAAGUUCGGGGGCUUUUCUUUUGGGUUGCGGCUUGCAAUGACAAAGGUAUUAGGAACCUUGUGAUUGAAAUGGAUUCCGCUGCAGCUGUUGUCCUUAUCCAAAACAGAUUGGUAACUGCUCAGUCCUCCAUGUUUACAGAGAGAAGAAUGGGGUGGCUGAUUGUAUAGCAAACUUGAGCUAUAACUUCGAUUUGGGCCUAUGUGUGUUUGAUUAUGCUCCUGUCUGUUGUGUUUCAGAAAUUUCAGAUGACUUGUUGGCUGUUCCGAAGACUCGGAUGGUUUGUUUAAAUCACUCUGAGUAGUUUGCUUUUAUUACCCCGAAAAAAAUAAGACACUAAUGAGGAGAUUGGAAUCCUUGCAAUACUGUGAUAAAAAUAUGUGAAUCACUUUCCAUUUGUAACAAUUGAAUUCCCAUUGACC